AUCAGGGGAUUUCUGCUGCAGAACACCUAAAUGGUUCCUGCUGGUUCUUCCGACUACAUUGCCUCGUUUGGGUUGAGACUCCCAGCACCAUCUUCUGAGAGAAACAGAACCGUUCAUUGACAUGCCUGAGGGCUCAUGUGGCCAACACGUGCUCACGUGUCCUAGGGAGUGAGAUGUUGUGAAAGUUCCUGCAGGGGGAGGAGGGAGGUGGGUGAGAGUUGAAGCUGCGGUGCUCCUCCUCCUCUCCCUUUCAGUAACCACAGAGGGCCUCUUUACCUCCUCGUUUUGAAAAGGAAGAAGCACGACAGGCAUGUUGAACUCAGAAAAACCAACGACGCUCAUGUUUACUGCGUGUUUCAACGGCAUGUAUGACGUCAGCGAGGGGUCAGAUGUCAAAUACCUGGAGCUGAUUACAGUCAAACAAAACCUCUGUGGAGGUUGGUGGAAUGUGUCCAGGAGCCAGGAGAAGGUUGCUGAAGAAGCAACCGUGACCCAGACACACCCAGUUUGUCUCUGCAGCUAAUCCACCUGAAACCAGCCAGAACAUCAGAGGUAGGAUCAGAGUAGAGUUACGCUUAAUCCCGAAUGCCAUUACUGCAGCCAAGAAGCAGAACAAAACAGAACACCCAAACAACCCAGUCAGGCUGACUAGUCGGGUUUAAGGUUCUUGAGUUAUUUAUUCUUCUGCUAACAGCGUCCUUCCUGCCACUGAGAUCCGGUAGCAACCAGAGUCCAACUGGGAGUAAUUUCACCCCAGUAGAAAUCCAGCUGUUCUGUUUCUGGCUUUAGAGGUUUGUUGGAGAACGUUAGAGAACUACCAGCAUCAUGAAGACCAAGAAUCACAGCCGACAGGUCAAUAUCUCAAGCUCUGAUCAAUCCGUCAUCUGAACGUCACUCAGAGAAGAAGCCAAGAAGCCCAUGACAACUCUGGAGGAGCUGCAGACUCAGAUGGAAGAAUCUGUCAGCUAGUUUAACCAGUUUGCAGCUGAACUCCACCUGGCUGUUGAGCCACAGUGACGUCCUUAAACUGAAGUACACCGUGUACCGAGAACAGGAAGUUCUGGCGUGUUGUUAAAAGAACAAAAACACGCCGCGUAAACAGGCGGAGACACUUUUCAGUUUAAUCACGUUACAACGGACCACAGACGCAGAGAAGAUCCAGAUUACAGUCCAAAAAUCGCUGCCGUGUGGACACGCCUGGCCAUGCCCACUCCCACAGCUGUCCUGAAACUUCACUGGGCCUCAGGCUGCGGAGGAAUGAGCUUCAGAAAAACUCCAGCUGAGAGCUGCAUAUCGGCUCAGCAGAUUAUUCAAAUGGAGGAGCUUCUGGGGCUGAAGGAGGAAUGUGCUUUUGCUUUCAGAGCCACUCCCAGGGGUCACCACAAGUACUCAGGGGUCAAGAGACGACAGAGAGGCAAAGAAAUGGCAGAACAUUUUUUUUUAUUUUGAUUUAAUUAAGGUAAAAAAAAAAUUAAACAAGAUAUAUUGGA